rnacentral:rRNA from 1 species
GAUGAACGCUGGCGGCGUGCCUAAUACAUGCAAGUCGAGCGAACAGAUGAGGAGCUUGCUCCUCUGACGUUAGCGGCGGACGGGUGAGUAACACGUGGAUAACCUACCUAUAAGACUGGGAUAACUUCGGGAAACCGGAGCUAAUACCGGACAAUAUAUUGAACCGCAUGGUUCAAUAGUGAAAGACGGUUUUGCUGUCACUUAUAGAUGGAUCCGCGCCGCAUUAGCUAGUUGGUAAGGUAACGGCUUACCAAGGCAACGAUGCGUAGCCGACCUGAGAGGGUGAUCAGCCACACUGGAAGUGAGACACGGUCCAGACUCCUACGGGAGGCAGCAGUAGGGACUCUUCCGCAAUGGGCGAAAGCCUGACGGAGCAACGCCGCGUGAAUGAUGAAGGUCUUCGGAUCGUAAGACUCUGUUAUUAGGGAAGAACAAAUGUGUAAGUAACUAUGCACGUCUUGACGGUACCUAAUCAGAAAGCCACGGCUAACUACGUG